UUUGAUGCAAAAGGCAAAGAGGAAUCUAAGCUAAAUUUUGUUCUUAUUCUUUGUGUAUUGAAGAGACGAGUAUUUGUAGAGAUGGUGAAGAACAGGAUGCAGAACUCAAAUUCCCAGGUUGGAACCAGAAAAGCCUCCCUAAAGAUGGACCAAGAAAGAGGGAUGCUGAGAAAAGAGACCUCCAGCAAGUCCAGCCAGAGCCUUUUGCAUUCUAAGCAAAGUGGAAAGUACUAGAGAAACCUCGUCCCACCAGGCCUCGUGUGAUCCUCUACCAGAAGCUGGAACAGCCACCUUGGGGAUCAGCAGACACCAGCAGCAGGCCAAAGGAUAGUGGAGUGGAGGGACGAGAAGGCCCGGGUGAGCCUUCUCUGAGAAUCACUGGGCUCUGAACCAUGAAUGAAAUGCCUACCUCUGUACUUCCUGUUGUAUAGGACAAAUAAAUCCCUAUCUAUUUAAG
rnacentral:sRNA from 1 species